UGUUAAUUUUAUCCAUUUGUAUAGUUAAAAAUUGGCGUAGCUGACGAAAUAACCAAAAAGUGACACGUGGCGUGUCGUGUGUAUCUCAUGCUGAUGUAUAGAGAUUAGUUUUUUACCGUAGAAAUGGAUGUAUUUUUAACA
rfam:Gossypium raimondii Chr05_contig_25, whole genome shotgun sequence.